GCCCGUGUCAUUAAGAGAGAGACUUUUAUUAUUCCCAUAGGGAAGGGGGACACUGGGGAUCACUAAACUACAGUGGUGCCUGGAAAAUAAAUUAAAACAGAAAUGCAUCAAAACAAAAGGGAGAUUGGAGACACGGAGAGCAGCUGGGAGGCUGCGGUGGCGGGCGGGCCCGCCCAGGCAGGCAGGCUCUCCGAGGAGAAGGCCAAGUGGUCCCAGGCCUCAGCCAGCCCAUUGCUUGUCCCUCUGUCAAUGGCGGCCCCGGGCUUCAAGCCCUGUGGGGCCAUGACUCCAGGCCUCCCCAAAGCCUGGCCAGGGAGCUUUCUUAGCAACCUCAUGUAGCUCUCUCCCACCCCUCAUCAGAGGCUGGAGCUGGGCAGGUGGGGGGCCUUGUCCCUCAGGUGCCAGCUCCUCAGGGUAGUCCGAAAUCCACCAGUGAGACCUCAUUCUCCUUGGACAGACAAGGACAGGGAGGA
ensembl:lncRNA novel transcript, antisense to EMX1